CAGCCAUCGCAGACUCUAGGGGAGGGAGCGAUGUUCUCUCCUACCAUUCCAGCACCUCCGAAGGUGUAAGGAGCUCAUGCCCCACCUUCCGCCUCCCCACACGCAGUCCAUAGACCUGCCAGCAGGGAGUUUUUUCUGAGCUUUGCUUUGCAGGCACCCAUGAUUUACAAAAUUCUACCAGGAGAGAAUGGUGCAAUAUCUAAAUCUGUGGUCCGUGCCCUGAAAAAGUAGUCCAGACAAAAGAUAAGAAAAAUGAUUGUCGGAUACAGUUUAUAAAACACACGCAGAAGAAACGUGGUGAUGGGCAUACCCCAAUGCUCCAGCAAGCUGGACCCUGGACACAACUGAGCCACAAGCAGAGCAUUGAAGAAAACACACCCCAGGCCAAGGAUUCAAUAAUUUGGUACAAACGCUUAGGCUGAUAAACUGGAGAAGGUGACUAUGGCAGCACAGAUCCAGGGCACCAGAAGGCAGACUGCACAGAGACCUGUGAGGGCUCUUUAUGGAUCCUGAUGGAA
rnacentral:lncRNA from 1 species